rnacentral:rRNA from 1 species
GACGAACGCUGGCGGCGUGCUUAACACAUGCAAGUCGAACGAAAAGAGGGAAAGAGCUUGCUCUUUCCGGAAUUGAGUGGCAAACGGGUGAGUAACACGUAAACAACCUGCCUUCAGGAUGGGGACAACAGACGGAAACGACUGCUAAUACCGAAUAAGUUCCAAGGGCCGCAUGGCCCAUGGAAGAAAAGGUGGCCUCUACCUGUAAGCUAUCGCCUGAAGAGGGGUUUGCGUCUGAUUAGCUGGUUGGAGGGGUAACGGCCCACCAAGGCGACGAUCAGUAGCCUGUCUGAGAGGAUGAACGGCCACACUGGAACUGAGACACGGUCCAGACUCCUACGGGAGGCAGCAGUGGGGAAUCUUCCGCAAUGGGCGAAAGCCUGACGGAGCAACGCCGCGUGAGUGAUGACGGCCUUCGGGUUGUAAAACUCUGUGAUCCGGGACGAAAAGGCAGAGUGCGAAGAACAAACUGCAUUGACGGUACCGGAAAAGCAAGCCACGGCUAACUACGUG